rnacentral:lncRNA from 1 species
CCUCACAAAUGGUUAAACACCGUCUCCUUAAUGCUUUCCUCAUGAUGGUGAGUUCUCGUGAUGAUUCUGGAGCUGUAAGAUUGAAUAGAUACUGUCCUGCUUGGUUUUGGACUUGUACUGGGCCUGUGAUCCCAUUUGUGUUACUUUCCUGACAAAUAUCUUCCCUUUGGAUUGAGAAAAUUUACCCAAUGCCUGUACCAUCAUCGUACCUUGAAAAAAAGACCUCCCUUUGAAAUUCAGGGACUCAUAGGCAAAAGGGACUGUAGACUUUUCUCAGAUGAGAUGUUGAACCUUUUACAUUUGUGUUAACGCUGGAAUGAGUUAAGGCUUUUGGCAACUUUUGAAAAGGCAAGAUUGUAUUUUACUCGCUGAGAAGGAUAUGAUAUUCGGGGGAUCAGGGUCAGAAUAAUAUGGUUUGGCUGUGUGUCUCUACCAAAACACAUGGGAAAUUGUAAUUCCAAAUGUUGCAGGUGUGGCCUGGUGGGAGGUGAUUUAUUCCUGUACUUGAGAGGGGUGGAGUUGGAAGUAAACAGAAGUGGGUAACGUUGGAGGAGUAGGUUGGCUGUAGGGUGGUGUGAGGGUGGUGGGUAGUAGGAAGUGGGAGUAGCCUGCUACAGAGGCAGAGGCUCAUGGAAAACCUCUACUAGGGCAGUGCACCUGUGGCUUUGCAGGCUUUAGCCCCCAUGGCUGCUCUCAUGGACUGGGCUGGUGUUGAGUGCCUGUAGCUUUUCCAUACUGAGGGUGGGAGCUUUUGGUGGGUCUAUGACUCUAGGGUCUGGAGGAUGGUGGUAUCCCGCGUGGGGGCUCCAAACCCAUAUUUUCCUUCUGCACUGCCCUAGUAGAGGUUUUCCAAGAGGCUCUGCCUCUGCCUCAGACUUCUGCUUGGAAACACUGGGGGGUGGAUGUGGGGUAUUGGGUGGAUCCUUCACCAAUAGUUAAGCACCAUCUUCUUGAUGCUGAUCUCCUGAUACUGAGUUCUCUUGAGAUCUGGUUGUAUGACAGGAUGUGGCAUCUUUCCUCUGUCUUGCUUCUACUCCUGGAAUAUGAAACAUUUCAUUGCUGCUUGGCCUUCUGGUAUAAAUGGGAGGCUUCCUGAGUCCUCCUGAAAGCAGAAACCACUAUGCUUUCCUUACAGCCUCCAGAACUGUGAGUCAAUUCAACCUCUUUUCUUUAUGUACAUGCAGAAAAUCAAUGCUGUGAAGUGAAGCUAUGAAAUGCCUUCAAGGCCUUUUCCCCAAUCUUUUGGCUGGUAGCACUGGGCUUCUUUGAUGCUAAUAUCUGAAGCCUUCUUGAAGUUUUCCCCAGAUAAUGGACUUUUCUUCUUUUACCACAUUGCCAGGCUGCGACAAAGAUAGCUGAAAAUGUAGAAGCAGGUUCGGAAUUCGGUAAUGGCCAGAGGUUAGAGCGUUUGGAGAGCUUGGAAGAAGACAGGAAGAUGAGGGAAAGUUUGGACCAUUGUAAUGACUUGUUAGUUGUGAUUAAAAGGCUGACAGAAGGAUGGACAGUGAAGGCCAGGCUUAGAAGCUCUCAGAUGAAAAUGAGAAACUUACUGGGAACAGGGGCCAAGGUUUUGUUCUUUUGCCUUAGCAAAGAAUUUGGCUGCACAGUGUCCCUGCUCCGGAGAUCUGGGAAACUUUGAACUUGAGGGUGAAGAUUUAGGGUCUAUCUGGUGGAAUGAACUUCUAAGCAGCAAAGCUCAAGAGUUGUCCUGCCUACGUCGAACAGCCUGUGGUAUUAUGUGUGACCAAAGAAAUGACCUUGAGUUGAAACUUAUAUUUAAAUGAGAAGCAGAGCUUAAUCCUUUGGAAAAUUUGCAACAUGGCAAAGUGGUCAAAAAGAAAAGCUGAAUUUCAGGGAGAAAAUUCCAGAAGCCUUUGGAUAUUUGCAUAAAAAAGGAGCCCAGUGCUAAUAAUUCAAGACAAUGGGAAAAAAGGCCUCGAAGACAUUUCAAAGACCUUUGUAGCAGCCCUUGUUGUCACUGGCCCUGGGGCUUAGGAAAAAAGAAUGUUUUUUCUGGGCCAGCCCUAUGGCCCCACUACUAUGUGCAGCCUCAGGACACUGCUGCCUGCACCCCUACACCUUCAUCUCCAGCUCCAGCCAUGGCUGAAAGAUGCACAGGCACAGCUUGGGUCACUGCUUCAGGGGUGCAAGCUCCAAGCCUUUGUGGCUUCCACAUAGUGUUAAGCCAGCAGGUACACACAGCACAAAACUAGAGGCUUUGGAGCCUUUGUCUAGACUCCAGAGCAUGUAUGGGAAAGCCUGGGUGUCCAGGCAGAAGCUUUUCCAACAGGCAGAGCCUCAUGGUAAACCUCUACUCGGGCAUUGCAGAACAAGCAUAUAGGGUUGGAGCCCCCAUACAGGGAGGCGCCAUUUUCCAGACCCCAGAUUCAUAGACCCACCAACAGCUUGCACUCUUAGUGUUGAAAAGCUAUUGGCACUCAACAGCAGCCCAGCCAUUGAGGGCAGCUUUGGGGAAAGACCCUGCCAUGCCACAGGUGCUGAGCUGCCCAAAGCCUUGGGAGCCCAGCCAUCUCACCACCCUGUGCUCUGGAUGUGAGAUGUAGUUUCAAAAAAGAUUAUUUGGAGCUGUAGGAUAGAAUGAAUGGCCUGCUAGGUUUUUGACUUGCAUGGAGUCUGUAAGUCCCAUCUGUGUUUUGCACUUCUUUCUGGCAAAUUUCUUCUUUUUGUCUGGGAAUGCUUACCCAAUGCCUGGACAAGCAUUAUACCUUGGAAGUAGUUAACUUGCUUUGUAUUUCAGAGGCUCAGGGAUAGAAGGGACUGUAGCCUUGUCUCAGAUGAGACUUUGGGCUUUGGACAUUUGAGUAAAUGCUGGGAUGAGUUAAGACUUUGGGGGGCUGUAGAGAAGGCAUCAUUGUAUCUUGCAGUGUGAGAGGGACAUGAGAUUUGGGGGGCCAGGGGCAGAAUAAUAUGAUUUGGCUCUGUGCCUCUACCAAAACUCAUGUGUAAUUGUAAUGGGGAAUGUUAAAGCUGGGGCUUGGUGGAAGGUGAUUUAUUCAUGGUGGACAGUGGGGGUUGGAAGUGUGGGUGUGAGAAGAAUGGGGGUUCAUGGUGGGGGUGGUCGUGAAACAUGGAGACCGGGGCAGAUCCUUCACAAAUGGUUAAACACUAUCUCCUUAAUCCUGUCUGUGUGAUAGUGAGUUCUCAUGAUAAAUGAAUACUCUCCUGCUGGCUUCUGGGCUUGCACUGGGCCUGUGUCCCAAUUGUGUUAUUUUUCUGGGAAAAUCUUCCCUUUGGAUUGAGAAAGCUUACCCAUCACUGUAACUUGAAAGAAAAGAACUCCCGUUUCCCUUCAGAGACUCAUAGGCAGAAGGGACUGCAGCAUUGUCCUGGAUGAAACUUGAACUUAUUACAUUUGAGUUACUGCUGGAAUGAGUUAAGACUUUUGGAAACUUUUCAAAAGGCACGUUUGUAUUUUGCUCUGUGAGAAGGACAUGAGAUUAGGGGGUCUCAGGGUCAGAAUAAAAUGGUUUGGCUGUGUUUACCUACAAAAACUCAUGGGGAAUUGUGCUCCCGAAUGUUGGAAGUGCAGCCUGGUGGGAGGUGAUUGAACCAUAAAUGGGAGAUUGGUGGGGGUGGAAGGAAAAACAAGUGUGUAGGGUCGGGAGGUGUAGGCUGGCAGUAGGGUGGUGGGAGGGUGGUGGGUAGUAGGAAGGGGGAGUAGCCUCCUGCAGAGGCAGAGGCUCAUGGAAAACCUCUACCAGGGCAGUGCACCUGUGGCUUUGCAGGAUUUAGCCCCAUGGCUGCUCUCAUGGGCUGGUCUGUUCUUGUGUGCCUGUAGCUUUUCCACACUGAGAAUGUGAGGUGUUGGUGGGUCUAUGAAUCUGGGAUCUGGAGGAUGGUGGCCUCCUGCAUGGGGGCUCCAAGCCCAUAUUUUCCUUCUGCACUGCCCUCGUAAGUUUUUGCAAGAGGCUCUGCCUCUGCAACAGGCUUCUGCCUGGAAACAGUGGGGGGUGGGGUGGUGGUAGGGGGUGGAUCUUUCACCAAUGGUUAAACACCAUCUUCUUGAUGCUGACCUUGUGAUACUGAGUUCCAAUGAGAUCUCAUUGUAUAACAGUGUGGAACCUUCUCCUUUCUCUGUCUUGCUCCUACUUCUGCCAUAUAAAAUAGCCCAUUGCUGCUUGGUCUUCUGGUAUGAUUGGGAGGCUUCAUGAUUCCUCCUAGGAGCAGGAGCCUCUAUGAUUCCUUUAAAGCCUGCAGAGCCAUGAGCCAGUUCAACAUCUUUUCUUUAUGAUCUUACAGAAAAUUAGUGCUCUGAAGUGGAGGUAUGAAAUGCCUUCAAGGUCUUUUCCUUCUUGUCUUGGUAAUCAGCUCUCAGCUUCUUUUCAUGCAAAUAUCUGUAGCCUGCAUGAAUUUUCCCCCUGUGAAUGGACUUUUCUUCUUUUACCACACUGACAGGCUGCAACAAAGAGAGCUGAAAAUGUAGAAGCAGGUUGAGAAUUGUCUAACAGCCAGAGGUUGGAGAGUUUGGAGGACUUGGAAGAAGACAGGAAGAUGAGGGAAAGUCUGGACCAUUGUAGAGACUUGUUAAAUAGUUAUAAUUAAAAGGGUGACAGAAGGAUGGACAGUAAAGGCCAGGCUUAGAAGGUCUCAGAUGAAAAUGAGGAGUUUACUGGGAACAGGAGCCAAGGUUACAUUUGUUUUGCUUUAGCAAAGAAUGUCACUGCAUGAUGCCCCUAACCUGGAGAUCUGUGAAACUUUGAACUUGAGGGUGAUGUUUCGGGUGUAUCCGGCAGAAUGAACUUUUGGCAGCAAAGCUCAAGAGGUGUCCUGUCUGUGUCCUGGUCUUCUAUGUGACCAAAUAAAUGACCUCAGUUAGAAACAUAUUUAAAUGAGAAGCAGAGCUUAAAAGUUUGAAAAAUUUGCAGCCUGGUCAAGUGGUCAAAAAGAAAACCUGAUUUUCAGUGGGAAAAUUCAAGACAGCUUCAGAAGCUUGCAUAAAAUGGAGCCCAGUGCUAAUAGCCAAGACAACAGGGAAAAGGCCUUGAAGGCAUUUCAGAGACCUUUGCAGCAGCCCUUGCUGUACAGGCCCUGAAGCCUAGGACAGAAGAAUGGUUUUCUAGGACAGAAUGGUUUCCUGGCCCAGCCCCAUGGUCCCCUGCUGUGUGUAGCCUCAGGACAAUGCUGCCUACAUCCCUGUAGCUCCUGCUGCAGCCAUGGCUGAAAGAUGCACAGGCACAGCUUGGGUCACUGCUUCAGGGGUACAAGAUGCAAGCCUUGGUGGCUUCUACAUAGUGUUAAGCCAGCAGGUGCACAGAGCAAAAGAGGAGAGCCUUGGGAGCCUUCGUCUAGACUCCAGAGCAUGUACAGAAAAACCUGGGUUUCCAGGCAGAAGCUUUUCCAAGAGGCAGACCCUCAUGGGAAAGCUUUUCUAGGGCAUUACAGAAGGAACAUAUAGAGUUGGAACCCCCACACAUGGAGGCACCAUUCUGCAAACCCAGAUUCAUAGACCUACCAACAGCUUGCACCCUCAGUGUGGAAAGCUACAAGUGCUCAACACUAGCCCAGCCCAUGAGGGCAGCUGUGGGGGAAAGACCCUGCAAAGCCACAGGUGCAGAGCUACCCAAGGCCUUGGGAGCCCAGCCAUCACACCCCUGUGUUCUGGAUGUGGGAUUUGGAUUGAAAAGUGAUGAUUUGGAGCUGUACAAUGGAAUGACUGGCCUGCUGGGUUUUUGACUUGCAUCGGAUCUGUAAGUCUCAUCUAUAUUUUGUGCUUCUUUCUGGCAAAGUUUUUUCUUUUGGCUGGGAAUUCAUACCCAAUGCCUGUACAAUCAUUGUACCUUGAAAGUAAUUAACUUACUUUGUAUUUCAGAGGCUCAGAGGCAGAAGGGACUGCAGCCUUGUGUCAGAUAAGACUUUGGGCUUUGGAUACUUCAGUAAAGGCUGGAAUGACUUAAGACUUUGGGGGACUGUAGAGAAGGCAUCAUUGUAUUUUGCAGUGUGUCAAAGAUAUGAGAUUUGGGGGAACUAGGGUCAGAAUAAUACGAUUUGGUUCUGUGUCCCUACCGAUACUCAUGUGGAAUUGUAAUGGGGAAUGUGAAAGUUGGGACCUGGUGGAAGGUGAUUUAAUCAUGGUGAAGCAUGGGGGUUGGAGGUACGGGUGUGGGGAGAAUGGUGGAGAUUAUUUUGGGAGUGGGGUCAAAAGAUGAGGAUGGGGGGUGGAUCCUUCCCAAAUGGUUAAACACUAUCUCCUUAAUGCUGUCUGCAUGAUAGUGAGUUCUCUUGAUGAUUAUGGAGCUUUAAGAUUGAGUGAAUACUGUCCUCCUGGGCUUGGACUUGCAUUUGUGUUAUUUUUCUGGGAAAUUUAUUCCCUUUGGAUUGAGAAAUCUUACCCAAUGCCUGUACUAUCAUUGCACCUUGAAAGAAAAGAAAUCCCUUUUGAAUUCAGGGACUCAUAGGCAGAAGAGAAGGUAGCCUUGUCUCAGAUGAGACUUUGAAGUUUUUACAUUUGGAAUGAGUUAAGACUUCUGGAAAAUUUUGAAAAGGCAUGAUUGUAUUUUGCUCUGUGAGAAAAACAUGAGAUUCUGGGGUAUCAGGGUCAGAAUAAUAUGGUUUGGCUGUGUGUCCCUGUGAAACUCAUGUGGAAUUGUAAUCCCAAAUGCUGAAGGUGGGGCCUAGGGGAGGGGAUUUAAUCAUGGAUGGGAGGGAGUUGGGGGUGGAAGGAGAAAGGGUGGGUAGGGUGGGGAGGAAUGGGUUGGCUGUAGGGUGAUGGGAGGGUGGUGGGUAGUAGGAAGGGGGAGUAACCUGCUGCAGAGGCAGUGGUUCAUGGAAAACCUCUACUAGGACAGUGCACCUGUGACUUUACAGGGUUUAGCCCCUGUGGCUGCUCUCAUGGGGUGGGCUGGUGUUGACUACCCAUACCUUUUUCAAACUGAGGCUGUGAGCUGUUGGUGGGUCUAUGGAUCUGGGGUCUGGAGGUUGGUGGCCAUCUGCGUGGGGGCUCCAAGCCCAUAUUUUCCUUCCACAUUUCCCUAGUAGAGGUUUUCCAAGAGGAUCUGCCUCUGCAUCAGGCUUCUGCCUGGAAACAGUGGGAGUUGGGGGUGGGGGGCAAAUCCUUCACCAAUGGUUAAACACCAUCUUUUUGAUGCUGACCUUGUGAGUUCUCAUGAGAUCUGCUUGUAUAAUAGGGCAUGGCACCUCUUUCCUCUCUCUGUCUUUCUCCUACUCCUGCCACGUGAAUCAUCUCAUUGCCCCUUGACAUUCUGGUAUGAUUGGGAGGCUUCCUGAGUCCUCCCAGAUUCAGAAGCCAGUAUGUUUCCUUACAGCCUGCAGAAUCAUGAGGUUCUUUAUGAUCAUAGAGAAAAUUAGUACUGGGAAGUGGAUGUAUGAAAUGUCUUCAAGGCCUUUUCCCUAUUGUCUUGGGAGUCAGUACUCAGCUUCUUUUCAUUCAAGUAUCUGAGGGCUUCUUGAAUUUUCUCCCUGAAAAUGGACUUGUCUUCCUUUACCACAUUGCCAGGCUGUGACAAAGAUAGCUGAUAAUGUAGAAGCAGGUUCAGAAGGGGGUGGCAGACAGAGAUCAGGAGAGUUUGGAGGGCUUCGAAGACAGGAAAAUGAAGAAAAGUUUGGAUCUUUGUAAAGAAUUGUUAACUACUUGUGAUCAGAAGGCUGACAGGAAAAUGGCCAGUGAAAACCAGACUUGGAAGGUCUCAGAUAAAAAUGAGGAACUUCCUGGGAACAGAAGCCAAGGUUACUUUUAUUUUGCUGUAGCAAAGAACAUGGCUGCAUGGUGACCCUGCCCUGGAGAUCUGUGAAACUUUAAACUUGAGGUUGAUGAUGCAGUGCAUAUCUGGUGGAAUGAACUUCUAGGAAGCAAAGCUCAAGAGGUGUCCUGUCUGCAUUGAACAGCCUGUGCUCUGAUGUGUGACUGAGAAAAUGACCUCUGGAUGGGACUUAUAUUAAAUGAGUCCCAACUCUUAUGUUAAAUGAGAAACAGGACUCAAAAGUUUGGAAAAUUUGCAGCCUGGCCAAGUGGUCAAAAAGAAAAGCUGAUUUUCAGGGGGAAAAUUCAGGAAGGCUUCAGAAACUUGCAUGAAAAGGAGCCCAGUGCUAAUAGCCAAGACAAUAGGGAAAAGCCCUUGACGGCAUUUCGGAGACCUUUGCAGCAGCCCUUGCUAUCACAGGCCCUGGGCCCUAGGAGAGAAGCAUGGUUUCCUGGGCCAGUCCUGUGACCCCGCUCUAUGUGCAGCCUCAGGGCACUGCUGCCUGCGUCCCUGCAGCUCCAGCUCCAGCCAUGGCUGAAAAUGCACAGAUGCAGCUUGGGUCACUGCUUCAGAGGGUGCAAGCUAGAAGCCUUGGUAACUUCCUCAUAGUGUUAAGCCACUAGGUGGAUGGAUCAUGAGACUAGAGGCUUGGGAGCCUUUUUGUAGACUUUGGAAGAUGUAUGGAAAUGCCUGGGUGACCAGACAAAAGCAUCCCAAAAAUGCAGAGCCUCAUAAGAAACUUCUACUAGGGCAGUGCAGAAGGAAAAUAUGGGGUUGGAGCCCCCACACUGGAGGCCACCGUCAUGCAGACCCCAGAUUCAUAGACCCACCAACAGCUUGUACCAUCAGUCAGGAAAAGCUGUAGGCACUCAACACCCGCCCAGUCCAUGGGGGCAGCUGUGGGGCAUAAACCCUGCAAAGCCACAGGUGCAGGGCUGCCCAAGGCCUUCAGAGCCCAGCCCUCAUGUCCCUGUGCCCUGGAUGUGGGACAACGUUUCAAAAAGGGUGAUUUUGGAACUGUAGGAUUGAAUGACUGGCCUUCUGGGUUUGGAGUUUCAUGGGGCCUGUAAGUCCUCUAUGUGUUUUGCUCUUUCUGGCAAAAUUUUUCCUUUCAGUUGAGAAUGCUUACCCAUUGCCUGCACAAGCAUUGUAGCUUGGCAGCAGUUAACUUGCUUUAUAGUUCAGAGGCUUAUGUGCCUAAGGGACUGUAUAGCCUUGUGUCAGAUGAGACUUUAAGCUUUGGACAUUUGUAUAAAUGCUGGAAUGAUACAAGAUUUGGGGGGACUGUAGGGAAGGCAUCAUUGUAUUUUGCAAUGUGAGAAGGACAUGAGAUUUGGGAGCCAGGGACAGAAUAAUAAAGUUAAAGGUGGGGCCUGGUGGAGGGUGAUUUAAUCAUGGUGGAGAGUGUGGGUUGGAAGGUGGGGGGUAGGGAGAAUGAGGGGAUUAUGGUGGGGGUGAGGGGUGAAAAGUGGUGGUGGGAGGUGGAUCCUUCACAAAUGAUUAAACACCAUCUCCUUAUUGCUGUGCUUAUGCUAGUGAGUUCUCUUCGUGAUUUUGGAGCUGUGAGAUUGAAUGGAUACUGGCCUCCUGGGUUUUGGACUUGCAUUGGGUGUGUGGUUCUAUUUGUGGUUUUUUCCUGGGAAAUUUCUUCCCUUUGAAUUGAGAAAGCUUACCCAAUGCCUGUACCAUCAUUGUACCCUGAAAGAAAAGAACAUCCUUUUAAAUUCAGGGACUCAUAGGUGCAAGGGACUGUAGACUUGUCUCAGAUGAGAUGUUGAACUUUUUACAUUUGAGUUAAUGCUGGAAUGAGUUAAGACUUUUGGAAACUUUUGACAAGGCAUGAAUGUAUUUUGCUCUGUGAGAAGGACAUGAGAUUCUGGGGUACCAGGGUCAGAAUAAUAUGGUUUGGCUGUGUUUCUUUACCAAAACUCCUGUGGAAUGUACUCCUUAAUGUUGGAGGUGGGGCCUGGUGGGAGGUGAUGUAAUCAUGGCAGGAGGGGUUUGGGGUUGGAAGGAAAAGGGGUGGGUAGGGUGGGAAGUAGGUUGGCAGUAGGGUGGUGGGAGGGUGGUGGGUAGUAGGAAGGGGGAGUAGUCUGCUUCAGAGGCAGAGGCUCAUGGGAAACCUCUGCUAGGGCAGUGCACCUGCAGCUUUGCAGGCUUCAGCCCCCAUGUCUGCUCUCAUGGGCUAGGCUGGUGUGGAGUGCCUGUAGCUUUUCCAUACUGAGGAUGUGAACUGUUGGUGGGCUUAUGAAUCUGGGGUCUGGAGGAUGGUGACCUCCUGUGUCGGGGCUCCAAGCCCAUGUUUCCCUUCUGCACUGCCAUGGUAGAAGUUUCCCAAGAGGCUCUGCCUCUGCAGGAGGCUUCUGCCUGCAAACAGUGGGUGGUGGUGUGGGUGGUGUUUCCUUCACCAGUGGUUAAUCUUCUUGAUGCUGAUCUCCUGAUAGUGAGUUCUCAUGAGAUCUGGUUGUAUAACAGGAUGUGGCACCUCCUUUCUCUCUCUGUCUUGCUCCUACUCCUGCCAUAUGAAAUAUCUCAUUGUCGCUUGUCCUUCUGGUAUGGUUAUGAGGGCCCUGAUCAGUGUGGGCCUCAUCAGUGGACCUAGUCAGCUGGGACUUGGUCAGUGAGGCCUAUUUAUUGGGGGGUGUGGUCAGCAGGGGUCUGCUUAGAGAGGGUCUCAUUAGGGGGAUCUAGUAGUGGGGUCUUGGUGAGUGGGGACCUAGUGGCAGCCACUUGUUUGGUGUCUGGUCAGUGUAAAACUAGGCUGCAGGACUUUGUCAAUGGAGACCUGGUCAGCUGGGGCUUAGUGGUGGCCUUGUCAGCAUGGGCCGGGUCACUGGUGACCAGCUCAAGGGGUGCUAUUCAUUGGAGGCCUGGUCACAUGGGACCCAGUCAGCAGGGCCUGCUGGCCAUGUCCUCAUCAGUGAGGCCCUUGUCAGUGGGGCCCUGGUCAGCGCAGCCUGGUCAGUGGAACCUAAUCAGUGGCGGCCUGUUCAGAGAGAGCGCAUUCAGUGGUGGCUCUUGUAGCAGUGGUCUGUGGGGUGACCUGGUCAGCAGGGAUCUGAGCAGUGGGUGCCUAUUCAGUGGGGCCUACUCACUAGGGUCACAGUCAGGGGCAUCUUGUCACCUAUGGCCUGGUUAAUAGGGGCCUGGUCAGUGGCAGCCUGUUCCCUGGAGGCCUGGUCAGUGGGGCCUCAUCUAUGGUGCCAGGCAAUGGGGUCAUGAUCAGUGGAACCUGGUCAGUGAGGCCCUGGUCAGUAAGAACCUGGUCAGUGAGGCCCUGGUCAGUAAGGUCCUGGUCAGUGGGGUCCUGGACACUGUUGGCCUAGCAGCAAGGGCCUGGUUAGUGGGGCCUGGUCAUGGGGUUCUAAUCAGUGAGAGUGUGGUCAGGGAGGACCUGAUGUGUGGGAUAUGGCCAGCAGGGACCUGGACCUGGUCAGCAGGGGCUGCUGAGCACUGCUGGGAGAUGUCAGGUGCAAUGCACGUUAUUGAGGGCCCUGUGGACAGUUGGGAUGGCCCAGUAGUGCCCAAAGACCCAGUCAAAACUGGACAAAGCAGGUGUUUCGAUGGACCUGGGAGAUCUUGCUCAGAGAUUCCAACAGGACAAAGGGAAAGGAAGGGCCACAGUGGCCAGAUAGAUGGUCACAGUCUAUGGGCUGCACAGGAUGGAGGAAGCCAGGGAACAGGCAGGGUGGG